ACUCUAAACCUUCAUCUACCUCACAUAGCCUCUAAGACAACCCUUCUUCCACUAUGUAAUAAACCUUUCCAAUCCCCCCAUCCACGAUAUUCCAUGGCAAGGGUUUGCUAAUUCGACAUCGCAAGCAACUAAUUGUCGAAAUGGCUUAGCGCUAGGGUUCACUGCAACGAUGAGUCGACGGAGAACAUGUAGUUCGAGUCAGACGAAGAAGGUGAGCACAAAGACGAAGAGAGAUACAUAGGAGACACAGAGCAGAUUCCAGUGACAGUGUCGGUCACGCAAAGGUGGUGGCGCAACACACGUUGGAGCUCGACGGAGGCUGCCAUAGCUCCGACAGCGAUGGUGAAAGAGGAAAAUCCAAAUUGAUGACUACAUAACACACAACUUGCCAUUUGAUGACAUUAAUAAAGCUUUCAAUCUCAUGAAGGAAGGAAAGUGUCUGCAUUGUGUUAUCCACAUGCCAACAGUUUUGUGAAUCUUAGAGUAUUAAAUUUUUGCACCAGUGAUGAACGAGAAAGUUUCUAUCCUUCAAGACGACAGUUUUCUUGAUCAACGAGACAAAUAUGGAUAUUAAUGCUCAGAACUUUGGAGGGAUCACAACAUUUGACAUCCUAGUUCAUUCUAAGGACAAUGCAGAGAAUAGGCAAUUGAAAGCCACUUUUAUCAGAACUGGUGCUAGAAGAAACGUCCAAUAUGUGUCUCCAGUAGCAUCUAGUCUUUUUAUGUCAUGGAGGUUUACACCUAAUCCAGUGGAAUUGCUAAAUCAAAAUGAAUUGGUUACUUGUUAUAACUUUGCAAGUUCAGCACAAGUUGGCACAAGCACCAAAUCUAGAUCACCUUCCCGACCUCAAUCGAGUGAGAUAAUUGAGAAUGGAAACUAUAAACCAUAUUACUAUUCCCUAACAAAUUCAGGGCAACAGAAGAAGUGUCAAACCAAAAGAAAAGUGGAAAAUCUAAAUCAAUUUUGCUAUAGUCCCUUGGUGUAACUUUUGUUGCUGGUAUUAGCCCUUUGGUGGUGUAUACCAAGAAGGACCAGUGAAAUAACUAAGAAGAAACUGAUUAUGCUACAAAUUAGUAUUUGAAAGUGUGUUGUUUUACAUUAUUUUACCUUAAGUUGUAAACAAUGUACUUUUAUCCUUUAAUGAAUGCUAUAUUGAGGAUAAUACCAUCAUUUUAGAAUUUUAGAAUA